AUGAUGACAAUAUUGAAGCAAACGUUGGUGAUAAUAUUGGAACAAUGUCAGGUGGAAGUAUAGCUGCAUCUUCUGUUUCGAAUGAAAAUGAUUCCUUAUCAUUCGAACAUUACCAAAAUUAUCGCUCCCAACACCCGGGACCUCUCUCAGAGAGGUCCUUCAAUAAA
rnacentral:lncRNA from 1 species